rnacentral:rRNA from 1 species
AGAGUUUGAUCCUGGCUCAGAUUGAACGCUGGCGGCGUGCCUAACACAUGCAAGUCGAGCGGCAACGCGGGAGCAAUCCUGGCGGCGAGCGGCGAACGGGUGAGUAAUGUUUCGGAAUCUACCCAUGGGUGGGGAAUAACUAGCCGAAAGGUUAGCUAAUACCGCAUAAGUCCGAGAGGGGAAAGCAGGGGAUCGCAAGA